rnacentral:lncRNA from 1 species
UAAGUCCUCCUGAGACCCAGGCUUCUCAGAGUCCUGGUGGAUCCUCUUUUUUUCUGAGGAUUUUGUGUUCCUGACGUGGCCAUCAGAACCUGCUGUCCUAGAAGAAGAUGGCACCUAUGCUCAAUGUAUGGCAGGAGAAUGCAGUGCUCGCUGGAUGUGGUUGACUGGAGGAGGAGAUGCUUAAUCCUGUAGGUGUCAUUACCAGGGCUCUACAAAUGCCAGGCCUCUGUGCAGCUGGGACUUCUCUGGAGAGGAGACAUGGAGGAGUGGGGACAUAUGCCUCUGUGUCCCUCCCUGUCCCUCCAUGUGCCUCCCUGUCCCUCCACUCGCAGUAGCACAAGCUCUUUCUGUUUGCUGUGUUCUCACAGUGCAGGGAGGGAGUGCGGGAGCAAGCUUCCUGGUGUAUCUUAAGUUAAGGACAUUAAUCUAGUCACGAGGACCUCAGCUAACCUUAAGUAAUCCCAGAGGCACCAGUUCAAUAUUAAUUCUGAAGGGACA